rnacentral:rRNA from 1 species
GGUCAGGACGAACGCUGGCGGCGUGCUUAACACAUGCAAGUCGAACGGAAAGGCCCUGCUUUGUGGGGUGCUCGAGUGGCGAACGGGUGAGUAACACGUGAGUAACCUGCCCUUGACUUUGGGAUAACUUCAGGAAACUGGGGCUAAUACCGGAUAGGAGCUCCUGCUGCAUGGUGGGGGUUGGAAAGUUUCGGCGGUUGGGGGAUGGACUCGCGGCUUAUCAGCUUGUUGGUGGGGUAGUGGCUUACCAAGGCUUUGACGGGUAGCCGGCCUGAGAGGGUGACCGGCCACAUUGGGACUGAGAUACGGCCCAGACCCCUACGGGAGGCAGCAGUGGGGAAUAUUGCACAAUGGGCGGAAGCCUGAUGCAAGCAACGCCGCGUGCGGGAUGACGGCCUUCGGGUUGUAAACCGCUUUCGCCUGUGACGAAGCGUGAGUGACGGUAAUGGGUAAGGAAGCACCGGCUAACUACGUGCCAGCCGCAGC